rnacentral:lncRNA from 1 species
AUUGGAUUUUUCUGUUUUGUCCCCUGCUUCUUUGGAACAUGUUUAGCAACAUGAAUAGGUUUCUUUUUCUUCACUGGAGCUUGGACAGGCUCAUCUCUAUCCUCUUUUCUUACAUUGUUACAAAUUUCUAUAUAAUGGCCAAUUUUCUUGCAAUGAGUCCAAUAAUCAGGCAUAUUCUCAUAACUAACUUCAACACAAAAGGUGUACCCUUUUCUUUCAACCAAAACUUUAUUUCUCAGAGGUUGAGAAAUAUCCAUAUCAACCAAUAUCCUAACAUAUUGACCAAAAGUUCUUUCCCAAAUAGGUUUUGAAGCAUUAGCNGCCCUCAACUAAAUAUUUUUAUUUUCUUAUCAAAUCUUAUUUUAUUUAACAAUAAAAUAAGUCUCAUAAUCUUAUCAAAUCAUCAAAACACGUCAAAUCUUUCAAAUCAACUUAACUCUUCUAAAUUCAACAAAACUCACAUAUAUAUUAUAAAAAUAUAAUAUAAUGGCAUAAACUCGAUUAAAUAAUUAAUUAAACGAAAGUGGGCGUUACAGUUCUCAUAGCACCAAUUAGCUCAGCAAAGAGAGAGUUACCAUAACUCAAACCUUCAGCAAAAUAGCCCUAAAAAUGGCCAAAGCAGUUCCUAAAAAUUCCUCCACAAGAGGCCUUACCGGAAGCAAAGGCUCCAUCACAGUUGCCUUUGAUCCAACCAACAAUAGGAGGGCACCAAAACACUUCUUUCACAAUAAGCAUCUUUGGAGGAUUAAUUGAAACAUUAAAAACUUUUAAAAUUGUGAAUUCCUUCAUAGCAGAACUAGCAGGCAAUAUUGAAUUUCUAGCAGACAAGGAAACAUUUAUAAUGAUCUGAUAUAUUGCACUUUUCCAAUGAAUCUUUCUGUUUUGGAACCUAUAGUUGUUUCUAGCAUGCCAAAUUGCAAACAUAAUGUUUAUAAUUGCAGCAAUGAUAGCUAAUUUGCAUUGGGGGGACCAACCUCUCUAACUGAUAUGCCAAAUUUCUUCCAAAGCUGAGAAGUGAAGAGGCUGAUUGAGCACAGAGGCUAACCAGCACCAAAGUUGAAUUGCAUAAGAGAAUUCAAAAAACAAGUGAAAAGUAGUUUCUUCUGCUUUCAGACAAAGAUUACAGAUAGAUGGUAAAGCACAUCCUCUUUCCUUUAGACUCCCAUCAACAGGAAUUUUGUCAUGCAUAAGUCUCCAAGCAAGCAAUGAUUUUGAAGGAGGGAUGUUGGGGGACCAGAUAGAUUUGGCCCAAUGGAUAGGCUGAACAGAAGAUGCCUUGAAUAUAUAAGCAUCUUUAAAGGAUAAACUACCAUUAGUUGAGGAGUUCCAAACAAGUUCAUCUUCUUUACUUUGCGCAUAAAUUGUUAAUUGCUGCACAAGAUUCCAAAUAACAAGAAAAUCAGUUGAAAUUUUUUGAGGCAUAUCCCAACUAAUUCCAUGAAUGUAAUCACUAACUAAAGUUGUUUUAUCAACAACUUCAUCAACCUACAGGAAUUAUCAAUCAUCACAUUGUAUUCAGACUUGAUACUUGAUGGGAUAAAACCGCAAGUGCACGGUCUUAUCGAAGUAGUAUUAAAAGAGUAUCGUUCCGACAGGGAGUAGUUCAAUUCAAUUAACCUUUGGAAAUGAUUAGAAGGNAACCAAUAUCCUAACAUAUUGACCAAAAGUUCUUUCCCAAAUAGGUUUUGAAGCAUUAGCAUAUGUGCAGAUAGGGGUUCCUACUGCAUUAGCAAUUGCAAAAAGAAUGCGUUUGCGCCAAUACUUCUGUGGAACACCAUGGAACCUCACCCAAACUUGAGCUGAGGUGUUUUGCUGGGUAUUAGGGCUAAAAUCACGAGUCCAAGCAAAGAACUUUAUGAAACCUAGAUUCAAAUUCCAGGAGCCAAUAGAUCCGACCCUUUUAAGGUCUUCAAGACUUGAAAAAGCAAAUUCAAAAUAACCCUUUCCAAGACUUGAAGAGAGCUUAGCACGCAAGGAAAACACUAAAAGGGGCGUUGAACCUUUAGGGUAGAUGAUUCUAGCAUGCAAAUUAUGUUUACAUGUUUCCGUACCAAUGACAUAAUCAUCAUCAGGGAUAGAAAUUGAAACCCCAUCACCUUUGAUGAUCGGUUGUGGUAGUUCUGAUGUUGGGAUGUCACAAACAUUUGUGAGGGCCUGUGCAAAACAUUUAAUAGGUUUAGGUUGGGGUUUUGGAUCAUCAGGCUUUGGAUUUGAUUUAAUAGGGGGUUCAUAAAGACAAGGCCAAGGAAUCAUAAAAGGAUCUAGAAGGGGGGUGGAGGACUGAGGCAUGGCGGUGGUAGUUGGUGGAGGUUUCCUAGGUUAGAAGAAAUGUUUUA